UAUUGAAUGUCUGUGCAGCUUGUACAGGAUAGGUGGGAGCCUUAGAAACGUGAGCGCCAGCUUACGUGGAGGCAUCCGUGGGAUACCACCCUGGCUGUAUGGACCUUCUAACCCAGGACCGUGAUCCGGUUCGGAGACAGUGUCAGGCGGGCAGUUUGACUGGGGCGGUCGCCUCCCAAAAGGUAACGGAGGCGCCCAAAGGUUCCCUCAGAAUGGUUGGAAAUCAUUCGUAGAGUGUAAAGGCAGAAGGGAGCUUGACUGCGAGACCUACAAGUCGAGCAGGGACGAAAGUCGGGCUUAGUGAUCCGGUGGUUCCGCAUGGAAGGGCCAUCGCUCAACGGAUAAAAGCUACCCCGGGGAUAACAGGCUUAUCUCCCCCAAGAGUUCACAUCGACGGGGAGGUUUGGCACCUCGAUGUCGGCUCAUCGCAUCCUGGGGCUGUAGUCGGUCCCAAGGGU
rnacentral:rRNA from 1 species